UACGGAGGGUGCAAGCGUUAUCCGGAUUCACUGGGUUUAAAGGGUGCGUAGGUGGGUCUGUAAGUCCGUGGUGAAAUCUCCGAGCUUAACUUGGAAACUGCCAUGGAUACUAUAGGUCUUGAAUACUGUGGAGGUCAGCGGAAUAUGUCAUGUAGCGGUGAAAUGCUUAGAUAUGACAUAGAACACCAAUUGCGAAGGCAGCUUACUACGGAUGCAUUGACACUGAGGCACGAAAGCGUGGGGAUCAAACAGG
rnacentral:rRNA from 1 species